ensembl:lincRNA protein FAM170A-like
CAAGCUUCUGUCAUAACUGAUACCAACCACAGUGUGGACAGCAUUUUUCUGGAGUAGGUCCUACUGAGCAGAUAGCUUUCUGGGUUGUCUCCUGCUUUUUGGUUAUACAAAUUUCAUUAUUUACCAUCAUCAAUUAAAUUUUCAACAGCAGAGUUUUAGAAGCUGACCUGGAUAUCAGUUAUUAUCCACAGUAAAAUAAUGAAGCAUAAAAGAAAAACUAAGCACCUUGAGCCAUCACUUGUGGAACAGCCAGAGAAGAGAGCCAGACAAGACUUAGAUUCUCAAGAUGACCUGCCAGGGAGAAACAAUGAAGUGGCCCCAGCUCGAGACCAGGAAGAGACCUUUAUUGAUUCCUCGAAUCGCUUCUCUUAUGAAGACAAAUCCAUCGGUGCAGGCUUGCGUCAAGGAGCAGAAGAGAAUUCCACCAACUUAGAGGAUUGCUCCGGAGUCUCUCCUUCUGGCCACUGCAGCCUUACGAAGCAAGAUGGUCUUGGAUCACCGGAGAUGCCUUUAGAUGAAGACAUGAUGGAAAGGGAGAAAUUACGUUAUAACUUGCGUUCCCCUUCCCCAUGCUUCUUGGAUAGCCACUCAUCAUCUUCAGAAUCUUCUGAAAAGAAACGCGUCAUGAAAGUUUACUACAUGCAAGUCCCAAAGAAAAGGGGUGCAGAUGCCUUAGGGGAUGCAGAAGACCUGGAGCCGCCCCAAAAGAGGAUAAGAGCAGCAAGUGUUAGCAUUCCUAGGAAGCUGCUUCCAAAGCUCAGCCUCCCUUCCCUAAGGGACACUUUAAGUGAUAGUGAGGACAGCUCCCCCAGUGAAGUCCAGGAGCAAAGGGAAGAGGCUGAGAGACCAUCAGGGCCUCGGGAUCAGGAGGCAGGGGGCAGCAUCCAAGCCCCGGAUGAGCCGGUGGGCCUGGAAGAUGAAUUCCAGUGCAUGGGAUGCCACAAACUCUUCCCCACAGUGGAAUCGCUGAAGAGGCACGUGGAGCAUGCGGGCGAGGAGGCUAUCGAGUGCCUUAAUUUUCACCUCGCACUUGCCAAACUAAAGCCAAAGAGGAAGACAAAGAAGAUUCAAAGGAGGCAGAAUAUUGAGAUAAACAAAAUAUCUCAGGGCUAUCUAGCGACUCUUUUCUGCGUGUUGGUAGUUUUUCUGAUAAUAUUUUGGGUGGUUUUUUAAUUAUUUAUUCACUGAAAAUGAAAUCACUCAUAUUUCUUGAUACAAAUAAGAGGCAAUAGUUUAUGGGGCCACCAGGAAUCUUUUUUUUGUUUCAUCCAAAACCAGCCCCCGAGAAAUCAAGUACGACCCCUGAUCACAAAGAAACAAAACCAGUUCCAAAAGUCAACCACAGGAACACAGACUGUGCUCUUGGCCAUACAAUGUCCAGCUUCUUCCCCCAAGGUCGGGUGCCAAAUGCAGCUGAGCAGUUUCGGUUCAGCGCCAAAACAAACAUUUCCAGGGGGGUGAUGCUUAUAAAUAAACACUCUUUCAGCUCCUAAAAGACAAGAAGAAAGUCAGCACAAAUUCAUCGAGACAGCUUCUCUAUAUUUUAUGUUAGCUUAAACAGGGCUCAGAGACUCACCAUGUAGCCCUGAAACCAUUCAACUUUAUUACUGCCCACAUUAACAUCUGCAAAUACACACAUGAUGCAAGAAAUGUCAAAACAUACAGAACUUUGGCAGUGCCGAUUGUAAUGCCUCAUCUGCCCUGCAUUCACUCCCAGACACUUAUUUUCCUCAAAAUGUACUUUAAUACUUUGAUACAUUCUCUCUAGCUGUUUCUAUAACAGUGAUGACAGACUGUCUCCCAUGGUGAACUGUGAUCUACUUCUCAGCAUAUUACUUGGUUGAACAUAAAUUGAUUGAGGAAAGGACAUGUAACUUUAUGGAUGGAACAAAAAAUAACUAAAACCCAACCUUUGGCUUCUCUAAGUUUGCGCAUGUGUAGGUUUACAAACGUAUACAGUCAUGCUAAGAAGGAAGGUAAAAGGUGUACAUAGAGGUGUCCCCACAAUCAGAGUGCCACUUUAAUCUUAAUAACUUUAAAAUCAUAAGUCUCACCAAUUUUUGGAAGGUAUCCUUUGUACAUUUAAUUAUUUACCUGACAUGUGACUUGUUUAAUUCUCAGCAAUUUCCAAUAUAAUUUUUAAUUCCUGUUUGUCACUCUUUGUCAUCUCCCACUGAGGAACAAAAAUGAAAACCUGACAAUUUGGAAUGUAUUAUGGACAGUUCCCAGACUUUAUGUGGUGUGAUCAAGAAUAUUGUGACUACUUAAAUUUUUAAAAAUUAUUAUAGUUAACAGCCCAUUGCUGUUAACAUCUCUCACAGUAAUGCCCCUGGCUUUGAACACACUUAUUCCAUCAUUUUUGCCACUUUCUGAAGCAUUUCUGGAAGCCUUUGGUGAGCGUCUCUAGUAAUGCUCUCUUGGUUCUCUUGACGUCCUGAAUCAAUUCAAAAUGUGCCGGGCCAGUAGGGAAGAUGCACUGUACCUUUUGAAUUGAUUCAGGACAUCCAGUUAGCCAGGAUAGCAUAACUGAGGACACUCUUGAAAGAGGACUUCCAAACAUGCUUCAGAAAUUGGCAAGAAGGAUGGGAUACAUGCGUUCAAAGCCAGGGGCAUUCUUUUGAGGGGGAUUAACAGCAAUAGGUCUUUUACCAUAAUUCUUUUUCUAAAUUUAAAAUUCAUAUUAUUUUUUCAAUCACAACUCAUAUUUUGGGGAAGAGAUAUUAGAAUAGUUAAAUGUACAAAUGACAAGGACUUUCUUUAGAAAUUGUAUCUUCUAUAUAAGUUUAUCAUUAUGAAGACUGAAACUGCCAGAAGGCAUUUGGGGCCCCUACUUACGUGCAUAUUUAUUUAUCUUUUAACAAAUUUAUCGAUUUUUCUGUCCUUCUGAUUAUCUCUUUGUGUGACGAUUAUCUGCUCUAGUGCACAUGCACAUACAAACAGGAGCCAAAAUGGUUGCGGUUACUUUACCCGCCUCGUAGUUUCUGUUUUCUUCAUGGGAAAAGGUCUUCUCCAUCCCACCCCAACUGCAGAAAAAUGAAUGCCAGUAGCCAAAGGAGGCCCUUACUUCACUAUCUGACUUGGUGGCUGACCUAUCUAUGCCUGUUGGACAAUCUGUAGUGAUAGCUUGGAAAUUUUAAGGAGAAGACACAGAGAUGUUGACUUUUACCUUUGAACAGUCUUCUGUGUGCAACUCCAAAUGAGGUCUACAGUCCUCAAAAGCCGGUCUUUCUUCAAUUCUCCGUUCUUUAAAAUACCUCACCUUGUCAACUGUUACUUUAAUUCCCUGAGCAUCUCCUCUGAAAUCUUCAAUAAACUUUUGUUUUGCCUCUAAUAUCUUGAGUCAGUUACUACUUGUUACCCCUUGUACCUUAUUUGAUGCAGACCAGGUUUG